rnacentral:rRNA from 1 species
UACGAAGGGUGCAAGCGUUAAUCGGAAUUACUGGGCGUAAAGGGUGCGUAGGCGGUUGUUUAAGUCUGCUGUGAAAUCCCCGGGCUCAACCUGGGAAUGGCAGUGGAUACUGGGAGGCUAGAGUGUGUCAGAGGAUGGUGGAAUUCCCGGUGUAGCGGUGAAAUGCGUAGAGAUCGGGAGGAACAUCAGUGGCGAAGGCGGCCAUCUGGGACAACACUGACGCUGAGGCACGAAAGCGUGGGGAGCAAACAGG